rnacentral:lncRNA from 1 species
UAUGCUUUACUUAGAAAAUUCUCAAGUCAGACACCAACAAGAUGCAUAUUGCGUGUCUCCCCAUCACUUUCUUGUUAUUGUCCCAAUUAUGAGGGAGCUUUGAAUAAACAAACAAAAGGACAUGUUAGCCACCAGCUUCUUCCACUCGGAGAAAAGGCUUUUGGAAGACCACAACCUCUUCAUUCACAAUAGAAAGCUUGCAUUUUCACUAUCAAAGAAGAAGAAGCACGAAAAAUAAUCUUCAGCGGACCAAAGUAGAAUGUCCAAAUCCCAUGCCAUUUCAUUCAUUUUACUUAUUUUCCUCCUUAUCUAAUUAGUACAUAUGUUGUCCAUUCACAUUCGCACAUAACUAUGUGCACUAUUAUUUUAUCUCCUUUUCCAUUUUCAAUUGUUUGUUGAUGAUUGUCUAGGGUUUGUAUGUGUUCCAUGCUCUCCUUCAAUCCUCAUAGGUUGGUGAGUACAGGCGUGACCAUAUAUAG